AGAGUUUGAUCAUGGCUCAGAAUCAACGCUGGCGGCGUGCCUAACACAUGCAAGUCGAACGCGAAAGCCCCGCAAGGGGCAAGUAGAGUGGCAAACGGGUGAGUAACACGUGGGUGACCUGCCUUCGAGCGGGGGAUAACGUCCCGAAAGGGACGCUAAUACCGCAUGACAUCCUGCCUUUGAAGAGGCGGAGAUCAAAGCCGGGGAUCGCAAGACCCGGCACUCGAAGAGGGGCCCGCGCCUGAUUAGCUAGUUGGUGUGGUAACGGCCUACCAAGGCAACGAUCAGUAUCCGGCCUGAGAGGGCGGACGGACACACUGGGACUGAGACACGGCCCAGACUCCUACGGGAGGCAGCAGUGGGGAAUUGUUCGCAAUGGGCGCAAGCCUGACGACGCAACGCCGCGUGGAGGAUGAAGAUUUUCGGAUCGUAAACUCCUGUCGAAUGGGACGAAUAGAUUGCGGGUUAACAGCCCGUAGUCCUGACGGUACCGUUAAAGGAAACCCCGGCUAACUCCGUGCCAGCAGCCGCGGUAAUACGGGGGGGGUAAGCGUUGUUCGGAAUUACUGGGCGUAAAGGGCUCGUAGGCGGCCAACUAAGUCAUACGUGAAAUCCCUCAGCUUAACUGGGGAACUGCGUGUGAUACUGGAUGGCUUGGAUUUGGGAGAGGGAUGCGGAAUUCCAGGUGUAGCGGUGAAAUGCGUAGAUAUCUGGAGGAACCACCGGUGGCGAAGGCGGCAUCCUGGACCAAUAUUGACGCUGAGGAGCGAAAGCCAGGGGAGCAAACGGGAUUAGAUACCCCGGUAGUCCUGGCCCUAAACGAUGAAUGCUUGGUGUAGCGGGUAUCGAUCCCUGCUGUGCCGAAGCUAACGCAUUAAGCAUUCCGCCUGGGGAGUACGGUCGCAAGGCUGAAACUCAAAUGAAUUGACGG
rnacentral:rRNA from 1 species